GGGAUUGCCAGUACGGCGAGUGAGCGGCAACAGCUCAAAUUUGAAAUCUGGUCCCUAGGGCCCGAGUUGUAAUUUGUAGAGGAUGCUUUUGGUGAGGUGCCGCCCGAGUUCCCUGGAACGGGACGCCACAGAGGGUGAGAGCCCCGUCUGGCUGGCCGCCGAGCCUCUGUAAAGCUCCUUCGACGAGUCGAGUAGUUUGGGAAUGCUGCUCAAAAUGGGAGGUAUAUGUCUUCUAAAGCUAAAUAUUGGCCAGAGACCGAUAGCGCACAAGUAGAGUGAUCGAAAGAUGAAAAGCACCUUGAAAAGAGGGUUAAAUAGUACGUGAAAUUGUUGAAAGGGAAGCGCUUGUGACCAGACUUGGGCGCGGCGGAUCAUCCGGGGUUCUCUCCGGUGCACUUCGCCGCGUCUAGGCCAGCAUCAGUUCGUCGCGGGGGAAAAAGGCUUCGGGAACGUGGCUCCUCCGGGAGUGUUAUAGCCCGUUGCAUAAUACCCUGCGGUGGACUGAGGACCGCGCAUCUGCAAGGAUGCUGGCGUAAUGGUCACCAGCGAC
rnacentral:rRNA from 1 species